rnacentral:hammerhead_ribozyme from 1 species
GUCCAGCUGAUGAGUCUCAAAUAGGACGAAAUGCGCGUCCUGGAU